rnacentral:tRNA from 1 species
AGCCCCGUAGUGUAGCGGCCAAUCAUACCUGCCUUUGGAGCAGGUGACCCAGGUUCGAAUCCUGGCGGGGCUA